rnacentral:lncRNA from 1 species
GGAAAAUGUAAAUAAAAGAUACUGCCUCAAAAUACCCCUUCCAGCAUAACAUCUGCAUGACUUCAUCCAUUCUCGGAGUGGAAUGCACCCUCCAACACCCCAGAGAAACAAAGAAACAUAGACUACAAUUUCACUUUCAGAAGGACAAGACCCAAACUGCAGGGGACUAGAGAAGCCAAGAUUCCAGUGCCUUCCAGAACCCAGACACCCAGCCCCAACUCAUUGCACCUCCCAGAGUCCUGUAAAGCACAUGGUCCAACCCGUUACCUAACAAGGCCAAUGACAUUUUGCUGAUCUCCACUCUAAUGGGAACACUGGCCUGGCAUUAAAACGCAAGCACAGACUGCCCAGCCAAGUACCGAGGCCUUGGCCAUCCCUAUAAGUCAGCAGCCUUGAACUGUAAACCUUCCACACCCUCUUCAAGUGACUUAGAGCAGCACCAACUGUCACCAUGAAAGCUCUAGUCUCUUCCCUCCUUCUAUUGCCGCCACUAACGCUGACAUAGGUGGUCGCCAGCAGCCCAAAUCCAGGUCUUGUGCUUUCCUACCAGCUCUACUUUGUUCAUACACGCAGCUCAAAACCACCUCCCCCCACAACCUCUCUUGAUUCCUCCCAUGAUCGGAUACUUAAAAAAUACUGUAAACGUGGGGCUGGCCCCGUGGCCGAGUGGUUAAGUUCGCGCGCUCCGCUGCAGGCGGCCCAGUGUUUCGUUAGUUCGAAUCCUGGGCGCGGACAUGGCACUGCUCAUCGGACCACACUGAGGCAGCGUCCCACAUGCCACAACUAGAAGAACCCACAACGAAGAAUACACAACUAUGUACCGGGGGGCUUUGGGGAGAAAAAGGAAAAAAUAAAAUCUUUAAAAAAAAAAAAAAUAC